rnacentral:rRNA from 1 species
UACGUAGGGUGCAAGCGUUGUCCGGAAUUAUUGGGCGUAAAGAGCUCGUAGGCGGUCUGUCGCGUCGGAUGUGAAAAUCCAGGGCUUAACCCUGGACCUGCAUUCGAUACGGGCAGACUAGAGUUCGGUAGGGGAGACUGGAAUUCCUGGUGUAGCGGUGAAAUGCGCAGAUAUCAGGAGGAACACCGGUGGCGAAGGCGGGUCUCUGGGCAAUUCCUGACGCUGAGGCGCGAAAGCGUGGGGAGCAAACGGG